CCUACGGGUGGCAGCAGUGAGGAAUAUUGGUCAAUGGACGAGAGGCUGAACCAGCCAUGCCGCGUGAGGGAAGACUGUUCUAUGGAUUGUAAACCUCUUUUGUACGGGAGCAAAGUCACCCACGUGUGGGUGUUGGAGAGUAUCUGACGAAAAAGCAUCGGCUAACUCCGUGCCAGCAGCCGCGGUAAUACGGAGGAUGCGAGCGUUAUCCGGAUUUAUUGGGUUUAAAGGGUGCGCAGGCGGACGAUAAAGUUAGCGGUAAAAUCGGGAGGCUCAACCUCUUAGAGCCGUUGAAACUGUUUGUCUAGAGAGAGCUAGAAGUAGGCGGAAUGCGUGGUGUAGCGGUGAAAUGCAUAGAGAUCACACAGAACUCCGAUUGCGAAGGCAGCAUACCAGCGUACAACUGACGCUCAGGCACGAAAGUGUGGGGAGCGAACAGGAUUAGAUACCCGAGUAGUC
rnacentral:rRNA from 1 species